rnacentral:lncRNA from 1 species
AAGAAACAGAAUGAAAGCAAACGAAACAGAGAAGAAACAGGGGAGAAAGAAAGAAAGAAAAAGAAAAAGGAAAAUUUGGGUUUCAAGGCUCAAAGUUUAAUUUGAAAUCUCGGCUAAGAAAGGACAAGACAAAGUCAACGGGAGUUAGCUCGAAAAUUACGGUUUGUAUUUCUAUAAUCCGAACUUAAUACUUAAUUGUUGAAUUUAUUUCUUAAUAUGUAUAUUAAGUGUUUUGAAGUAAGAAUUAUUGUGUUUUGCAAAUGAAAUGGAUUGAUAUAGUAUGUGAUGAAAUUAUUGAAUUUAUAUUGAUUGAAUUGGCGUAUAUAUAUAGAUAUAUAUAUUGAAUAUUGAAUAUAUAUUGAUUAUUUGAAUUGAAUUGAAAUAUAAAUUGUUGAAAAUUUUAAAUAUGAGAUUUGUGAUAUUUGGAUAUUUGUUAUUGAAAAGUGAAUUGAAUUGUAUUGAAUUAUGAAUUUAUGUGAUUGAUUAAAAUGUGUAUUGAUUGAAAAAAAUCGAAAGUGAAUUGAAUACCCUAUUAACAGUAUCGGGCUGAGUCGGAUAUAGUUGGCAUGCCAUAGGAUUGGAAGUGUUCAGGGAUUCUUCGACCUCGAGUCGAUGAGACACUGGGUGUCACUAUAUUUCUUCGGAUAGAUUCGAUGAGGUACUGGGUACCAACUUUACUUCGGCUAGGCCGAUGAGACACUGGGUGUCAAAUAUUGCUUCGAACUAUCCGAUGAGGCACUGGGUGCCAUAUUGGUGUGUUUGGUUGGAUCCGUGUAUCCGCCAAGGUCCGAGUCUUGUUAAUAGGGGUAAAUAAGUGAAAAGAUAAGUCGAGUGAAUUUGAUUGAUUGAGCUAUUGGAAUGAAAUGAGAAAUUGAAUUGAGAAUUGAAAUUGAGAUAUGAGAUUGAAAACAUGAACCAAAAAGUUCAUGAAAUGAGUGAAGUUCAAAUGGAUGAUGAUUGAUGUUAAAAUGAAUUAAAAUGGUAUAUUGUUAAGAAAUAAAGUGUGAAAACAAGUGAAUUGUGAAUAUAUUGUAUAGAAUUUAUACGGUAAGUAAAUUAAAAGAAUUGAACAAAUAUGUUAUUGUGUUUGUUAUAUGACUUGUAUAGAAUUUAUAUGGUAAGUAAUUGAAAAUUUAUCUAUAAAACAAAUAAAUGAAUACUUAUAAUUGUUAUUGUGAUUUUAAGUUUAAUUGUUAUAUUAUUAAGUGUUCGGAUUAUGGAAAUACCACUGAGUAUACCAUACUCAGCGUACGGUUUGUUUCCGUGCGCAGGUUUAGUAAAGAUAGAACGUUGAAUCAGCAUCCCAGUUCGAUCCCGAAUUCAUUAAGGUAAAGUGUGUUAAUUAUUGGUAAUGGCAUGUACCUAGGAUGUUUUAUGAGAGUCAUUUAGGUUGUAGAUGUACUCAUGAAAUGAGUAAAUUAUGGUUGGCAACGGUAUGU